rnacentral:rRNA from 1 species
UUCCUUACGUAGAGAAUACUAUGAUUGCCUCAGUAACGGCGAGUGAAGCGGCAAGAGCCCAAACUGGUAAUCUUCGCGCUGUGCGCGACGAAUUGUAAUCUACAGGUGGAGCCCUCAGUUGGURGCGACGCAGAAGUGGCCUAGAAUGGCCCGCCGGAGAGGGUGACAGCCCCGUAUGUGGUGUCGCUGCCUAUCGAGGGUCCUUCGAAGAGUCGGGUUGUUUUGAAAUGCAGCCCUAAGUGGGAGAUAGACUUCUUCUAAGGCUAAAUAUUUGCGGGAAACCGAUAGCGAACAAGUACUGUGAAGGAAAGAUGAAAAGAACUUUGAAAAGAGAGUCAAAAGACUUGAAAUCGUUGAGAAGGAAGCGGUAGAAAUUUAUUCUUCGGCCGUUACCUCAGCUUGGCGCUWAACUAUUGGGGCUCUGGGCACUUUAUCGGUCCUCUGUUCCACUUGGGGUCGCGCUGGGUGUGGUUGCGGUUGUGAGGCAAAAUGGGGUCGCGUUUCCGCAGAGGCUUGGUCUGCUUGGGCUGGUUCUCCAGUCAGCUUCCUUUGCCUGCGGGCGUGCGGCCUGAGGGGCUUUGUGCGAUUUUGCUUAAAUGGUUUUUACCGACCCGUCUCGAAACACGGACCAAGGAGUCUAACAUAUAUGCGAGUGUGCUGGUGGAGAAACCAGUGCGCGUAAUGAAAGUGAUUGAUGCCAAGCGCAAGCAGCAGCAUCGACCGACCAUGAUCCUCUGGUGAAAGGUUUGAGUAUGAGCAUAUCUGUUAGGACCCGAAAGAUGGUGAACUAUGCCUGGGUAGGGUGAAGCCAGGGGAAACUCUGGUGGAGGCUCGUAGCGGUUCUGACGUGCAAAUCGAUCGUCAAACUUGGGUAUAGGGGCGAAAGACUAAUCGAACCAUCUAGUAGCUGGUUCCCUCCGAAGUUUCCCUUAGGAUAGCUGGGACAAUUACGCAGUUUUAUCAGGUAAAGCGAAUGAUUAGAGGAAUCUGGGGUAAGUUGCUCUGGACCUAUUCUCAAACUUUAAAUUGGUAAGAACCUUGGCCUUUCUUAAUUGAGGCAUGAGGGAUCAAUGCGUGUCCCAUGUGGGCCAUUUUUGGUAAGCAGAACUGGCGAUGAGGGUUGCUCCUAACGUCGAGUUAAGGUGCCCAACUGCACGCUCAUCAGAAACUACAAAGGGUGUUGAUUCAUCCAGACAGCAGGACGGUGGCCAUGGAAGUCGGAACCCGCUAAGGAGUGUGUAACAACUCACCUGCCGAAUGGAUUAGCCCCGAAAAUCGAUGGCGCUGAAGCGUGCGACCAAUACUCGACCAUCGUAGCGAGAGUGAGGCUGCGAUGAGUAGGAGGGCGUGAGCGUUGUUGCGAAGCCUCUGGCGUGAGCCUUGGUUGAACAGCGUUUAGUGCAGAUCUUGGUGGUAGUAGCAAUUAUUCAAAUGAGAACUUUGAAGGCCGAAGUGGAGAAGGCUUCCGUGAGAACAGCAAUUGGUCACGGGUGACUCGAUCCUAAGACAUGGGGGAAAUCCUUGUUAAGUGUGCCAUCUGGCACGUAGUCGAAAGGGAAUGAGGUUAAUAUUCCUCAAGCUGGAUGUGGGUGUUGUAUGGUAACAUAAAUGAGCUCAGAGACGCCAGCGUGAGCCUCUGGAAGAGUUCUCUUUUCUUUUUAACAGACUAAUGACCUUGAAAUUGGAUUAUCCAGCGCUAAGGUGAUAUGUCUGGAAGAGCACCUUGCUUUCUGAGGUGUCAGGUGCGCUCACGAUGGUCCGUGAAAAUCUGAGUGAGAUUACUUCACACCAGGUCGUACCCAUAACCGCAUCAGGUCUCCAAGGUUA